GAUUAAGUUAUUAAGGGCGCACGGUGGAUGCCUUGGCACUAGAAGCCGAUGAAGGACGUUACUAACGACGAUAUGCUUUGGGGAGCUGUAAGUAAGCUUUGAUCCAGAGAUUUCCGAAUGGGGAAACCCAGCAUGAGUUAUGUCAUGUUAUCGAUAUGUGAAUACAUAGCAUAUCAGAAGGCACACCCGGAGAACUGAAACAUCUUAGUACCCGGAGGAAGAGAAAGAAAAUUCGAUUCCCUUAGUAGCGGCGAGCGAAACGGGAAGAGCCCAAACCAACAAGCUUGCUUGUUGGGGUUGUAGGACACUCUAUACGGAGUUACAAAGGACGACAUUAGACGAAUCAUCUGGAAAGAUGAAUCAAAGAAGGUAAUAAUCCUGUAGUCGAAAAUGUUGUCUCUCUUGAGUGGAUCCUGAGUACGACGGAGCACGUGAAAUUCCGUCGGAAUCUGGGAGGACCAUCUCCUAAGGCUAAAUACUCUCUAGUGACCGAUAGUGAACCAGUACCGUGAGGGAAAGGUGAAAAGCACCCCGGAAGGGGAGUGAAAUAGAACCUGAAACCGUGUGCUUACAAGUAGUCAGAGCCCGUUAAUGGGUGAUGGCGUGCCUUUUGUAGAAUGAACCGGCGAGUUACGAUUUGAUGCAAGGUUAAGCAGUAAAUGUGGAGCCGUAGCGAAAGCGAGUCUGAAUAGGGCGUUUAGUAUUUGGUCGUAGACCCGAAACCAGGUGAUCUACCCUUGGUCAGGUUGAAGUUCAGGUAACACUGAAUGGAGGACCGAACCGACUUACGUUGAAAAGUGAGCGGAUGAACUGAGGGUAGCGGAGAAAUUCCAAUCGAACCUGGAGAUAGCUGGUUCUCUCCGAAAUAGCUUUAGGGCUAGCCUCAAGUGAUGAUUAUUGGAGGUAGAGCACUGUUUGGACGAGGGGCCCCUCUCGGGUUACCGAAUUCAGACAAACUCCGAAUGCCAAUUAAUUUAACUUGGGAGUCAGAACAUGGGUGAUAAGGUCCGUGUUCGAAAGGGAAACAGCCCAGACCACCAGCUAAGGUCCCAAAAUAUAUGUUAAGUGGAAAAGGAUGUGGCGUUGCCCAGACAACUAGGAUGUUGGCUUAGAAGCAGCCAUCAUUUAAAGAGUGCGUAAUAGCUCACUAGUCGAGUGACACUGCGCCGAAAAUGUACCGGGGCUAAACAUAUUACCGAAGCUGUGGAUUGUCCUUUGGACAAUGGUAGGAGAGCGUUCUAAGG
rnacentral:rRNA from 1 species